UCAGCCGCCAGGUGCCGCCUUCCAUGACCAACAUGGCUCGAGCGACCACCCCGAGCGACAAUUUCAGUAGAAUUGCUGCACUCAGAUUCGAAAUAUCCCGCGCAAUGUGCGUCCGCGCUGUUUUUCUGUUUGGAGUAGCCGCGCUAGCGCUGCAGGCGCUGCAGAGAAUGCCGCGCCAAACCCUAAACCAUCCAAGCGCCGUGCCGACGGGUCUUCGGAGUGCGCGCGCUCGAAGCGACCAAGCGGCAGCUAUUACCACCAGCGUCGGCGCAUUGUUCUGCCGUCGUUGGUGUCUCCCGCAGUUUUGAACAGCCAAGACUCCACGACUGCAGUCGUUUCAUUGCCAGCUGUGAGGAUGAAGCAGCUUCAUAGCCGGACAUCAGACGCCUUCCAAGUUCCCCUAUUAAGCAACAGAGGCCUAGGAUGCCAUUCUACCUGUGCUGCAUUGUGUGGCUGACCACUCCAAGGUUCUCAGCAGAAUCAUUACACAGGAAGAAGUCCUGCUGACCCCAAGCAUGGUGUGAAAUGAAGAAAUGGCACUCCACAUCCAUAGAGAGCUUGAUUUCCCCUGUUCCAUGCUUACUUGUUGGCAUAGCCAGUCUGUUAGCUUAAUUUUUGGUUCUUCCCUAUUGAAUGCUCAAGAAAGGCACCAAAACUGUCA